GUUGGUGUAGUAUAAUGGUAGCACACCACCCCUGAGGUCAUGCAUACAUACAUACAUACUUUACGGCUGCAUACAUACUCGCAUGACCUUAUUUCCGGGUGGAGGUCCAGGUUCGAUUCCUGGCGCCAACC